CUACUCGGGUUUCUAAUCCUGUUCGCUCCCCACACUUUCGCUCCUCAGCGUCAGGGAAUGCCCAGAGAACCGCCUUCGCCACCGGUGUUCCUCCUGAUAUCUGCGCAUUUCACCGCUACACCAGGAAUUCCGUUCUCCCCUGCAUCCCUCUAGUCUGCCCGUAUCGAAAGCAAGCAACCAGUUAAGCCAGCUGUUUUCACUCCCGACGCGACAAACCGCCUACGAGCCCUUUACGCCCAAUAAUUCCGGACAACGCUCGCACCCUACGUAUUACCGCGGCUGCUGGCAC
rnacentral:rRNA from 1 species